rnacentral:lncRNA from 1 species
UCCUGCUAGAUCGAUUUCACCUCGAAUCUGCUGUACAUCUUGAAGCGGUUCUUUUCUGCUAAAAUUCUUUUCUUAAAGUAAGUUCGUCUUCGGCAGGCAUGGAGGGAACCGUCAUGACCGACAGCAAGUCGAAGAGCCUCGUAGCCUACCAUGAGGUUGGCCAUGCUGUCUGCGGGUAAUUUCUUCACAAUACAUGCAUCUAUUGUCCAAAUUGAUAUCCCUGGUUCGGCAGGGUUGCAAACUAAUCAGUUAUAUUUGCGACGCAGAACUUUAACCCCAGGCCACGAUGCAGUGCAAAAGGUGACUCUCAUCCCGAGGGGUCAAGCUCGCGGUCUCACCUGGUUCAUCCCUGGGGAAGAUCCUACUCUCGUCUCCAAACAACAAAUCUUCGCUCGCAUUGUUGGUGCUCUAGGUGGACGCGCUGCCGAGGAAGUCAUU